ACUGACUGCGAGAGCACGGGGGCAUUGCUUCAAGAGAUGGCAAAGCAGGCAGCUGCACCCCUCCUUCCCGGAGUCCUCCUCCUCUUCUCCAUCCUCCCGGCUUCCCAGCAAGGAGGGGUUCCUGGUGCUAUCCCGGGAGGGGGAGUCCCAGGAGGAGGCUUUUUCCCAGGGCUCGGGGCUGGAGGAAAACCUCUCAAACCAGGUAAGAAACCUUUCCUUCAUCUCUCGCCGACUGUGCCAGCAGCCAGGGUGUAG
rnacentral:lncRNA from 1 species